UAGGGAAUCUUCCGCAAUGGGCGAAAGCCUGACGGAGCAACGCCGCGUGAGUGAAGAAGGUCUUCGGAUCGUAAAACUCUGUUAUUAGGGAAGAACAAAUGUGUAAGUAACUAUGCACGUCUUGACGGUACCUAAUCAGAAAGCCACGGCUAACUACGUGCCAGCAGCCGCGGUAAUACGUAGGUGGCAAGCGUUAUCCGGAAUUAUUGGGCGUAAAGCGCGCGUAGGCGGUUUUUUAAGUCUGAUGUGAUAGCCACGGCUCAACCGUGGAGGGUCAUUAGAAACUGGAAAACUUGAGUGCAGAAGAGGAAAGUGGAAUUCCAUGUGUAGCGGUGAAAUGCGCAGAGAUAUGGAGGAACACCAGUGGCGAAGGCGACUUUCUGGUCUGUAACUGACGCUCAUGCACGAAAGCGUGGGGAGCAAACAGG
rnacentral:rRNA from 1 species